rnacentral:misc_RNA from 1 species
GGAAACUAUAGUCUGCAGACGUACGGUUCUGUCAUUCGUGCCCAUGUACGCAGGUUGAUACCGAGGAAAGCAAUCUAACACAUCUUUAUAUUGGAACGAAAGUGGACUACCCUUAUGGCUAUUUGGUGACUUAAUGGUUGGAGUUUUAACCAGACCUCUGGGCUUACUAAACAAUAUGGGGAAAAAAAGAUUUAAAACAGAUUACAAGAGAAAAGCAACCCAGACCAAGGCAGACCCACAAGAUGAUGUAGAAUCCUAGGUUCUCAUUCCUGAAAUACUUGAUCAAAAAACCAAUUAUGCCAGAUUGCCUGUAGAGGCUACAAUCUUACAAAGAGAAACAAAAAUGGAAAAUUGCUUAAUUUUCCUACCAAAAUAUAUAAAUUCCUAAAACUAUAAAAUUACUUAUUUUCAAAAGAAGAACAAUAAUUGUGAAGAGUCACUUCUCUCCAAGACAGGCUUGGGUGUUGUGUAAAAGUUAUGGGAAGGAAUAUAGACUGCAUCACACAUACACACACAGUGGAUGCCGUUUUAGUUUUAAUUAAGCUGCUGCGCCUACACUAUUACUAUGUGAUUCUUCAUCACAUAGACACAUUUCAUUAUUGAAACAAAAUUGCAAGUUAGAACCAUUGAAAUUUGCUUCUACAGGAAUUGAAACUAUAACAAUAAAACCGAAACAGCAAUUAAAACUCACUCCACACUAAUCACUUCAAGCAACUUUUUACUUGCCUCGCUCAGCUCUACAUUCUCCAUCUUCAGUCGGCGAUGAAUCACAUUGCUUGUCCUUCCAGCAGCUGCAUAAGUUCUUAUCAAUGACUCAAACACAUUUGCCCCCACAUUAUCUAUGGCCUUCUUCAAAAUCUCAAUAAAACCCUCUGCUCCAUCAACAUCCUUCUGUUGCUCAAAAUGUGCCAUGAAAGACCCAACAAUCUCAGAUGAUGGAACCCACUUCUGACCAUCACCUCUACCUGUAGAUAUUGCAUUGGAUAAACAAUCAAUUGCCAAUUUUAUAUCCCCAUUUUCCAAAUAAUAGUCCAAAAAUAUUUCCCAAGUUUUAGCAUUAGGUUUGGCCCGUUUCCUUUGGGCUCUCUCCUUAAGCUCUUCCGCCUUCUCUAGCAAACCCUCUUUGGCAUAAUCUCUGAUAAGAACAUUCGCAAUCCUGAUAUCAUAAGCUGAGCAAUUGGAUUCCCAUUCUCUGAAGCAUUUCUCUGCACCCGGUAAAUCUUUCAAGUUGACCAGUACUUGGAUCAUAUUCAGAUAGCUUAUGUUUGAAGUUUUAGGAAAAGCCAGUCUCAAAGAACGCCAUAUUCUAUAAACCUCAGGCAAAUUUCCUGUUCGACCAUACAGAGUAAUUAGGAAUUGGAAAGCAGAAUGAUCUUGACGAGCAUUUCUCUUCUCCAAUUCUUUCAAUGCCUUCUCUGCCUUCUCAUGCAAGCCAGCAUCAACAUAAAUUGAGGCUAAGUUGCUGUAUGUUGUCCAAUCUGCAGCAACUCGACCAUCCCUCUUCAUCUCCUCAAUUACUCUUUCAACACCAGAAAUAUCGUUGACAACUGCCAGAGCCCUCAUCCAGACAUUGUAUGUAUAAGAAUCUGGCAUGAUAUUGUUGGCCUUCAUUUCUUGAAUGACUGCUGGGACCCUUUCAGGCUGACCAACCUUUGUGUAUAGGGUCAUUAGGCUGUUGUAUGACAUGGAGCUUACACCAAGAUUGAGCUCCUUCAUCUUUUCCAUGAGAGCUUCAGCUUCUUCAGUCAUCAAUUCUUUGCAAUAACAGUUAAGAAGGGCCCCAUAUGUUAGAUGGUUCUUAGAUGUUUCAGGAAGAUCUAUGAAGUAAUUUUCCGCAGCUGUAAUGCCUCUAGUUUUGGCAACCAGAUCAAGAUGAAUAGCCUGAUCACUGACUGUCUUAUUCAUGCCCCUCUUAGACAUAGCUUCUGAUAGCUGUAAAUUGAAAAAAUUUACUCAUCUGGAACUUGCUAGGAAUACUUAGAAGUAACAAGCACAUAAGUAUGAGGAGUGACAUAAAAGAGUCACAGGAAAUUAUGACAAAAAAACACAUUGCACACCUCUGAGACCAUGUAAGCGUUAGGAUUAGGAAAGAAAGUAGAUAUAACAUUGAGCAGCCUAUCUUUGCUAAUAAAUUAAUAGGUAUGUAACCCAGAGAGAAAUUUUGUUGAGAUUCUAGGAUUGCUACUAAUUUGAAAAAUAUGAUAUUUUAACUACAUGCCUAAGAGAAAGGAGUAUUAACAGAUGCAAACUCAACAGUAAUCCUUAUAAAAUAUUAUGUGGUUCUUUCUAUAUGCAAGCAAGUGUAGCAGUGCCAUAAAUCUCGUAAAAUUCUAAAAUACAAUAGGAUAUCAUUUAAUUUUUAUUUUUGUAAAACUGUUAACGUCAAGCAACUAAAGAGUAAUCCAGCCUUUCAGCAACUAAAAGAAAAUAUGAAGCAAACUAUCAUGACAUGAGACAAUGUUUUGCUGUCUAUGUAAACUUUGAUUCGAUAAUAUGCAGACACUCUUUCAUUUAGAAGGAAUUCAACCCCAUUUAUUUCAGAAUAAUCUCUAUAAUAUACUUCAAAUUUUGUUUACAUAAUUGAACAUCAUUCAGAAUUGCCUUUUCAUCAAGUCACCACAUCUUACAACAUCAACUGUUUACUCAAUAAUAGGAGUAAAUGCAGAAUCUCACUAAAUGCAGAAUCUCACAAUUGGUUGAUUACACCACAUAGUGUUAAAGGUUCUACUUAACAACUCCUAAGCAGAAGGUUGAGUUCAGUAGUUCACCAAAUUUUGUUGCGCUACUAAAGUUAAAAAAAUGUGCUUGGAAAUGAGUUUAAGCUCAAAUCCUAGGGAAUAAGAUGAGACUAGAGCAGUGGUACAUAAAAAUAGGCUAGGUAAACAAGUAAAUCCUAAUAAAUGAGAAAGUAACACCCACUUCAUAGAAUUAGACCUUACAAACUUUCCACUGAAUAUCAGCUGAAGCAAAUGCAAUUUCGCAAACCCAAGUUGCAAUGAUCAAAUGGGUUCAGCUUCAACUAUAAUUAUAAGAUGAAAUGAAUAGUUGUGAACAAUUUUGACGCAGGCCCAUAACCAUUGGUUCAAUACUAGUAUAUCAUGUAAAUCAAAAUGUGCUUGGAAAUAGCUAUAAAAAAAUUAAAAAAAAAAUUAUAGUAUAAUGCAGAAGCACUUAGUUUUCAGUAAACUAAAAAGUUUGAAAACGGGGAAUGCUUAGAAACUUGGGUGAGAUUUUGAAGGAAGGAACCUUGAGAGCAGGGUAAUAAAGCUUGCGAUCGCGGAGCUUCUUGAGAGUGUCGCCAACUUCCCAUUUGUAUACGCGCUUGGAGCUCUUGAGGAAUUGAUUCAACUGUUGUCUAACGCUCACCUCAGAGCUCCCUUCUUUGAAGAGCCUAAAGUAAAGUGCUUCUUCCAAGUACUUUUUGGAUCUCUUUGACACAUUUUUCGUCCGACCAAACAAUUGCGGCAUCGCCAUUUUGGAUCUCGAAUUGGGAAGUGGGUAGCAGAGUUAGGAAGGGAUUUUUGAAAAUCUUGGGAGUUUAAACCCUCGUAUCUGAUCAUUUUGCAAAAGGUUUAGCUGGAAGAGGAACCUGAACUUGGGUUUUUCUUCUACAACCCAUUGAGUUGUGGAUAUGGACUUUCGAGUUUCGACGAUUUCCUGAAACAUUGGACAGGGUUGGGCCAGGUUCUGACCAGGCCGAAUGACGCCAGCUUGGCCUUCUGCCUAGCGCUUAAUUGCUUACCCGUUCCUGCAAUUUCGGUUUUGAUCUAAAAUGGGGUUUCUGA